rnacentral:lncRNA from 1 species
CCCUGCCCCGCGGGGAGGCGGUUGAGGCCCGGCGAGAAUUCGAGCGCUGCGCGGGCGGGCCAGCAGAGUUGGGGGACCCUGCGCACCCUCCGCAGCUGCUGGCCCGGGUGCUAAGCCCCUCACUGCCCAGGCAGGCGGGGCGCCAGCUGGCCGCUCUGAGUGCGGCGCCCGCCGAGCCUACGCCCACCCGGAACUCGCGCUGGCUCGCGAGCGCCGCGCGCUGCCCGGGUUCCCAUCCGCGCCUCUCCCUCCACACCUCCCAGCAAGCAGAGGGAGCCGGCUCUGGCCUCCGCCAGCCCAGAGAGGCUUCCACAGUGCAGCGGCGGGCUGAAGGGCUCCUCAAGCGCGGCCAGAGUGGACGCCGAGGCCGAGGAGGCGCGGAGAGCGAGCGAGGGCUGCUAGCCCAUGCAAUGGACUCCAUGAAGGUUCUUAUGCUUUAAUGCUUUAUUUUUGUGUGGUUGCCUCCUGCCAGGAGGUGGCGCUUUCCAGAAAGCAUCAGCUAGUAUAGAGAGGGACUAGAGGUGGGCAGGGCUCUAGUACUCCGAAGAUUAUAUGCCCUUUGUCUUCCGCUACCAGGGUGGAUAAGGAAGGACCAUUUGGCAAGGGCAGAGCUAGGCAUGUCUGAGCUCAGACUCUCCUUAGGGGGGUCUUGCUGCAGCUGCUGUGGGGGAUGGGGUGAGAUUCCCAGGUCACUGGAGUUGUGUGCCUAGGAGGAUUAUGGCUGCCUUUGCUGAGUCAUGCCGGUUAUCAGGAAAGUAGGGGAAAGCCAGAAGUCACAGGCUUCACCCAGCUCCCAUACAAAACGAAGGGCCGGUCUCACUCCCACCAUGCCCCCACCAAUAGCUCCGAGUCUGUUUCCAGGUCGAGGGUGUGAUGGGCUUGAAAACUUGCCGCGGGUUACCCACCUCCAGCUGCCAGAGAAAAGGGCUUAGUUCUUCCCCUGCCUGUGGAGUCUGCACACCAGAUUUGAGCCCUCCCUCGAGUUCUGGCCAGGAGACUUCUCACCCUGUUCAAAGUGUUACAAAGUUCAGCUAGAGAUUUCCUUCUCCCUGUGAAGUAUACUCCACGCUCCUUUGAUCACCCACCUGAUGGAUCUCUGUGGUGCCAGGAAGGAAUGUCCCUAGCAAGGGGACAUAGCGAGCUCCCAGGGCGUUUCUGCUGCUUCCUCUACCCCUGCAUUUCAGCUCUCAAAAUUGGCUCAGCUCCAGGUUCCUGCUUGAUUUGUGAAACAGCCCAGGAAUAAGGGACAUUCUCCUGGAUCAUUCUGCUUCGUGAGAGGAUGAGGGCUCAGGAAACCGCACUCACCUGAUACUACCAAGAAGAGAAAAAAGACAACAGCUCAAGGAAGUAGAAGAAAAUUCUUUCUGUGAGUUCUUUCUAAAGAUCUUAUCAGUUUCUUACGUAUUUAAAUAUUGCAUAACAAUUUUAGAGUAGAAUAUAUAUAACAGUAGAGGAUAAAAAAUUGUAACAG